rnacentral:rRNA from 1 species
GACGAACGCUGGCGGCGUGCCUAAUACAUGCAAGUCGAACGCAGUGGGGACGGGUGAGUAACACGUGGGUAACCUCCCAUCAGAGGGGAUAACACUUGGAAACAGGUGCUAAACCGAUACUGAUGGAUGGACCCGCGGUGCAUUAGCUAGUUGGUGAGGUAACGGCUCACCAAGGCCACGAUGCAUAGCCGACCUGGGAGGGGGGUCGGCCACACUGGGACUGGUACACGGCCCAGACUCCUACGGGAGGCAGCAGUAAGGGAUCUUCGGGAAAUGGGGGAAACCUGACCGAGCAACGCCGCGUGAGUUAAAGAAGGUUUCGGAUCGUAAAGCUCUGUUGUUAAGGAAGCGGUACUUAACCAGAAAGCCACGGCUAACUACGUGCCAGCAGCCGCGGUAAUAC